CUUCAAGGAGCCGAGGAGCAGCGGGCGUUCGCGGUCCUGGCCAUAGGUGGCGAGGAGGGCCUGGGCCUC
rnacentral:antisense_RNA from 1 species